rnacentral:rRNA from 1 species
UACGUAGGGAGCAAGCGUUGUCCGGAAUCAUUGGGCGUAAAGCGCGCGUAGGCGGCCCGAUAAGUCCGCUGUGAAAGUCAACGGCUCAACUGUUGGAUGCCGGUGGAUACUGUCGGGCUAGAGUACGGAAGAGGCAAGUGGAAUUCCUGGUGUAGCGGUGGAAUGCGCAGAUAUCAGGAGGAACACCUAUAGCGAAGGCAGCUUGUUGGGACGUUACUGACGCUAAGGCGCGAAAGCGUGGGGAGCGAACAGG